GCUACCCACCUGUGUCACUUUUGUUUGAUUUGAAGCCUUCCGUGAGAUUUUGGGUUUGGGCGAUAUCCACAAACCACCAUACAACGGGAGUCAGCGGGGCACAGACUUUAAAUCCGUCGUACACGCAUAAACAGUAUUUUCUUAUUUUGUUUAGGGUCAUACAAUUACGUUUCCGCCUCAUUUCAAUAUUUAAAUCUCCCGGGUUCAGUGAACGAAUUAAAAAUCUGUAUUGACUGAGGUGUGCCACGUCAUCUUUCUGCGACGCUCAUUCUGACAGCCAGGAGCCAGCCAGCUCUGCUACGGCAGUCGGCAACAUGAUAAAGUAACAAGAAGCAAACGUUGAAGCUCUCGGUUUUUAACAGUUCUUCGGCUAGAACUUUGCUAUGGGUUGAAUGUGCGCAUAUACUGGAUGCUGAAACUAAACGACAAGCUUUAUGAAACCGUGGCAUUUUGCGUUGAGAUGGAAAAGGAACGCGCCACACUCUCCUGGAUACGAGGCUACGUGUGUGCGGUUUCUACCAGCAAAACAAACUAGCAGGACAGAAGUGACAGCGUCAGAAAGAAAACAAUGCUGUUCCGAUUGCUGAUGGAGACAACAGAGGAAGGUGCCAAGUAACUCUGGAGGAUAUUCUCGCCAUGACGAAUCGAGCUGGUAUCAACGUUCUUCGAAGUUGAAUCGGAGAUUAUAGCCAAAACUCGCAGGAACACAUAGCUUUCAAUUGAGAAAUGCUGUACACAGCGCCCAGCGCCCUGGGAGCUGAACGUCUGCGGCCAGGUUACAGUACAGAAGGGUCAUCCAAGGUGCAUCAUGACCCUCAUCCAUCUCCACCAUACCAUAUGCUGGAUGGAGUCAGAGUCUCUACAUUGACUUAUCAUCUUGUGUUAUAUUGAGUAAUUACAAUGAAGUUAUAAAUCUAGUUGGUAAUACUACACAUAAUUUGACAUUACACAUCUUAGGUGCAUUGUGGGGACCCCUUAUUGGACCAAAUGUAGCUGGUUCGAAUCCCUCCUGACCUCUCCCUACAUCUCCAUCCAUGGCUGAAGUGCCCUUGAGCAAGGCACCUAACCCCACAUUGCUCCAGGGACUGUAACCAAUACCACUUUUGGUAAAUGAAAGCGUCAGCUAAGUGCAAUGCAUUUUUUUUAAAAAUGCAAUGAAAUGAAAAUGUAAUAUUCCAUGUCUUUUGAUAACAUUUGUAAAUUAAUUUCAUGCAUCAUUCCAUUGUAACAAUCAUAGGGACACUUUCUCAACUUCCACCUGCACAAUAUCUUGGACUCACAGGAAGAGAUUAUCUACAUAAAUCAAAAGACACCGCACACUGCUUACCAUUCUUUUUCUUACUUUAUUUUGACACACAGGGCAAAAUGCGUUGUUAGCUCAGAAAAAUGAAGGAAGAAAAAGAACAAUAAGCAGUGUGAAAUGUCUUUUGAAUUUUGUUCAUUGUUCACCUUCUCCUGCCUCACAUCAGCACCUGCAUUGCUGAGGGCUUGUGCACAAGGACUCUCUUGAACUUAGGUCAUCAAUAUAAUUUGAUGGCCAUUGAAAAUAAAUUUUACACAUUUA